rnacentral:rRNA from 1 species
CAGUCGCCGCGGUAAUACGAAGGGUGCAAGCGUUAAUCGGAAUUACUGGGCGUAAAGCGCGCGUAGGUGGUUUGGUAAGAUGGAUGUGAAAUCCCCGGGCUCAACCUGGGAACUGCAUCCAUAACUGCCUGACUAGAGUACGGUAGAGGGUGGUGGAAUUUCCUGUGUAGCGGUGAAAUGCGUAGAUAUAGGAAGGAACACCAGUGGCGAAGGCGACCACCUGGACUGAUACUGACACUGAGGUGCGAAAGCGUGGGGAGCAAACAGGAUUAGAUACCCGUGUAGUCCCUGUCUCUUAUAC